AUUGAACGCUGGCGGCAGGCCUAACACAUGCAAGUCGAACGAGUGGCGGACGGGUGAGUAAUGUCUGGGAAACUGCCUGAUGGAGGGGGAUAACUACUGGAAACGGUAGCUAAUACCGCAUACCAUCAGAUGUGCCCAGAUGGGAUUAGCUUGUUGGUGGGGUAACGGCUCACCAAGGCGACGAUCCCUAGCUGGUCUGAGAGGAUGACCAGGCACCCCGGAACUUGGGAACGGUCCAGACUCAUACGGGGGGCAGGAGGGGGGAAUAUUGCACAAUGGGCGCAAGCCUGAUGCAGGCAUGCCGCGUUUAUGAAGAAGGCCUUCGGGUUGUAAAGUACUUUCAGCGGGGAGGCGUUACCCGCAGAAGAAGCACCGGCUAACUCCGUGCCAGCAGCCGCGGUAAUAC
rnacentral:rRNA from 1 species